rnacentral:tRNA from 1 species
CCGAUCUUAGCUCAGUUGGUAGAGCGGAGGACUGUAGUUGUGCUGUGAUCCUUAGGUCUCUGGUUCGAGGCCGGCAGGUCAGA